rnacentral:rRNA from 1 species
CCUACGGGAGGCAGCAGUGAGGAAUAUUGGUCAAUGGUCGGGAGACUGAACCAGCCAAGCCGCGUGAGGGAUGAAGGUACAGAGUAUCGUAAACCUCUUUUGUCAGGGAACAAAGGCGGGGACGCGUCCCCGGAUGAGUGUACCUGAAGAAAAAGCAUCGGCUAACUCCGUGCCAGCAGCCGCGGUAAUACGGAGGAUGCGAGCGUUAUCCGGAUUUAUUGGGUUUAAAGGGUGCGCAGGCGGUCUGUUAAGUCAGCGGUCAAAGCCCGGGGCUCAACCCCGGCCCGCCGUUGAAACUGGCAGUCUAGAGUUGGAGAGAGGUAUGCGGAAUGCGCGGGGUAGCGGUGAAAUGCAUAGAUAUCGCGCAGAACUCCGAUUGCGAAGGCAGCAUGCCGGCUCCACACUGACGCUGAGGCACGAAAGCGUGGGUAUCGAACAGGAUUAGAUACCCGUGUAGUC